AAGAAAGUGGCAGAGCGGCUAUGCGGUUGGCUUGAAACCAACUCAUGGGGGUUCAACUCCUCCCUUUCUCG
rnacentral:tRNA from 1 species